CCUACGGGAGGCAGCAGUGGGGAAUAUUGGACAAUGGGGGCAACCCUGAUCCAGCAAUGCCGCGUGUGUGAAGAAGGUCUUCGGAUCGUAAAGCACUUUCGACAGGGACGAUGAUGACGGUACCUGUAGAAGAAGCCCCGGCUAACUUCGUGCCAGCAGCCGCGGUAAUACGAAGGGGGCUAGCGUUGCUCGGAAUUACUGGGCGUAAAGGGCGCGUAGGCGGCUUGGCCAGUCAGGCGUGAAAUUCCUGGGCUUAACCUGGGGACUGCGCUUGAUACUGCCAGGCUUGAGGCCGAGAGAGGGUGGUGGAAUUCCCAGUGUAGAGGUGAAAUUCGUAGAUAUUGGGAAGAACACCGGUGGCGAAGGCGACCACCUGGCUCGGUACUGACGCUGAGGCGCGACAGCGUGGGGAGCAAACAGGAUUAGAUACCCUGGUAGUCCACGCCGUAAACGAUGUGUGCUGGAUGUUGGGGUUCCUAGAAUCUCAGUGUCGUAGCUAACGCGGUAAGCACACCGCCUGGGGAGUACGGCCGCAAGGUUGAAACUCAAAUGAAUUGACGG
rnacentral:rRNA from 1 species